GACUCCAGCCUUUGAGGAUGUGGCUUUCAACUUCACCCUACAGGAGUGGGCUUUGCUGGGUCCUUCCCAGACGAAACUCUACAGAGAUGUGAUGCGGGAAACCAUCAGGAUGCUGGCCUCUGUAGUUAAGGAAAUCAUAUGGUAGAGAGACCCUGUGAAAAUAAAGAAGGUAGUCAAUGUGGAGAAGCCUUCAGCCAGAUUCCAGGUCAUAAUCUGAAUAAGAAAACGCCUCCUGGAGUAAAGCCACCUGAAAGCCAUGUGUGUGGAGAGGUCGGCGUGGGCUAUCCAUCCACUGAAAGGCACAUCAGAGAUCGCCUUGGACGCAAACCCUGUGAAUAUCAGGAAUGUAGACAGAAGGCAUAUACAUGUAAGCCAUGUGGGAAUGCCUUUCGUUUUCACCACUCCUUUCACAUACACGAAAGGCCUCACAGUGGAGAAAACCUCUAUGAAUGUUAGGAAUUUCAGAAAACAUUCACUUCCCCCCCAAACCUUCAAAGAUGUGAAAAUGCAUAGUGGAGAUGGACCUUACAAAUGCAAGGUGGGUAGGAAAACCUUUGACUCUCCCAGUUCAUUUCGAAUACAUGGAAGAUCUCAUUCUGGAGAGAAACCCAAUGUGUGUAGGCACUGUGGGAGCACCUACAAUCAUUUCAGU
rnacentral:lncRNA from 1 species